rnacentral:rRNA from 1 species
CUACGGGGCGCUGCAGUGAGGAAUUUUGCGCAAUGGGGGGAACCCUGACGCAGCAACGCCGUGUGAGUGAAGAAGGCCUUUGGGUCGUAAAGCUCUGUCAACUGGGAAGAAGUUGCUAUGCUUAAAUAGAGUGUAGUAUUGACGGUACCAGUGGAGGAAGCGUCGGCUAACUCCGUGCCAGCAGCCGCAGUAACACGGGGGACGCAAGCGUUAUUCGGAAUUAUUGGGCGUAAAGGGCGCGUAGGCGGUCUUGUCGGUCAGGUGUGAAAGCCCGGGGCUCAACCCCGGACGUGCACUUGAAACAGCAAGACUUGAGUACGGGAGAGGAAAGCGGAAUUCCUGGUGUAGAGGUGAAAUUCGUAGAUAUCAGGAGGAACACCGAUGGCGAAGGCAGCUUUCUGGACCGAAACUGACGCUGAGGCGCGAAGGCGUGGGUAGCGAACGGGAUUAGAUACCCUAGUAGUC